rnacentral:lncRNA from 1 species
AAGCUAAUAAUAGGUAACCAUCACAGGUAAAGCAGAAGGAAAGGGAUAGGAGGUUCUCUACGAAUUCAUGAUGUUUUAUACUUUUAUGUGUAGAUAUGCUUUUUGAAAAGAAUAAUGUCAUGUAAGUUUGGAAUGAAAUAUCAGCUAUGGCUUCAAAAGAUUGUGCAAAAAAGUUUUCUGGCAAGGAAAAUUUUCUAAAAAUGUUGGAUUUUAUGGUAAAAUUCAUUGAAAUUCAUUACAAUAAUGAAAAUAUUACAGAAAAAAAUCAGUGUUUGAUAUUAUUAUGCAAACAAUAAAUUUGUACUAGAGAAGUUAGCUAUGAUUGUAUAUCAGAGUUUAUAUGUGCAUAUAUAUGUGCAUGCAAUUUUACUAUGUAUAUGUGUAUUUAUGUACUUGUGUAUAUGUGCAACAUUUAUGUGUGCUUGAAAGAUUGAUAAACAUGACAAAUGACAACCUAGAAAAGAUAAAUUUCAAUAAAAUUUGUACAACUCACUUUGCUGUCUACAUAUUAAACCGAUAUCUUCAGAAAAAAAUAAUUUUAAAAGCUGCUUGAUUCUUGGAUAUUAAGUAAAAUGUUAAAAGAAUUAUGGCCUGCUUGUCAAACAUGAUUUAAGACAAAAAUAAAUCAGAACAAACUAUGAAAUCAAAGGCGAAAUGAAUGAGGCGAAAAGUCAAGGACAUGUUAUACUAAGACUAUAUUUACAGAAAAAUAUAUACUUAUAUCUUUCAGAACACCAAAGAGGAAAAAAGAGAUGAAAAUUUAUGUUCUUGCUAAUUGUGAUACUAGAUUCAAAUAGCUACCUUCAGGUAUAUAUCAAUUGCUCUGUAGAGUCCAUCAUCAAUUACACGAGCAUAAUCUGGCAAUAGUUCAAUAAUAGCCAUAAACUUUGGCAAUUUGAGGUGUGGAUCUGGUGCAAUUUCUGCAAGAUACCCAUCCAUAAGCCUCCCCACUUUCAGAACUGAACUAUGACUUGGGGACUUGAGACCUUCAGAUUCAUAUCCACACUGCAAUGACUCUUCAGAAUCUUCAUCUUCAAUCCUCUGCAGGAAAGUCACCAGUAUACGAUGGACGGUAUCAACAUCAAACACUGAAUCACUCGUCUGCAAUGAAGGAAUGAGCAGGUCAUCAAGUGAAGCCAUUUCCAACUGGAAACUAAUCCUCCUCUCAAGCUCAAGCCUACAGCCAUGACCUGCAUUCACCUCUAUUGCCAUCCUUAGCAUCCCAAACAGGAAGGACAGAGGAACAGAGGUAAUCUUCUCUGUUGCUAAGAUACCAACAAGUGUUUCUAUGAUCACUCUCUGCUUGUCUCCCAAAAAAGCACUAGAAUCCCAACCUUGAUGUCUUUCAAUACCCUUUAGAGAGGUUUGUGCAUAGUGCACAAUUGAAGUGGUAAUGCUAUCCGAUCUCACCCCGGUCCUCCUCAUGGCAGCAAUAACUCGCUG